GCUGGGCACAGUGGCACAGGCCUGUAAUCCCAGUGGCUUGGGAGGCUGAGGCAGGAGGUUCACAAGUUCAAGGCUAGCCUCAGCAAAUGAGCAUGGUCCUAAUCAACUUAGUGAGACCCUGUCUCAA
rnacentral:sRNA from 1 species